UGUGUCAGUCAGUGCAGCAUACAGAGUAAAGACAAACAGAGUGCUUGGAUUUUGAACAUUUUUGGAGACUGAAUGUUUUUUUUAAAGAACAAUAAGGGUUCGUUUGACUUUGGGACCUGAAGCGGACGGAGUUUUGGACCCAGAUUACUCUGCGAGGCUCCUGACUACGGUAGCUGUAAUGAUCCGACUAUCCAUCAAGAGAUUUCUUUGUUUGCUUUGGGUCCCUGCUGAAGAUAAAGAUGAUGCGGUCUUAGGGCUCAGAACUCAACAGUGAUGUCCUUCCUUCGGAUCAUGUCUUUAACACUUCAUAGAACUGCCAGGAAGGAUCAUUUUGUCCAAUUCUGCAACAACAGCAGUAAUGGAAGAGACCCCAUUUGUCGGAGAAGUCAAAGUAAGCUUAAUCUAAGUUUUUUUUUUUUAAUUGUAAAUAAGAUUUGAAAAAAAAAGUAUUUAAGAUUUUAGGUGCUUCAUUAAGUUGAUGAUUAGCUUGAUAAUCGACUGAUUUCAU
ensembl:lncRNA